UGACGCCGAAGCGGCAGCGAAGUGGUGGCCCUCGUGUGAAGCCCUCCUUGUGUGAAGACCUACUUGGGUAAAGACCAGCGAGUCUACCUGUGCGAGUCCACCGAGCAAGGACACCGACAAGGCACUACUCACCAAAGCACUUAAACCGUUCACAAGAUACAGAUGCAAGACAAAACGCAACCCACACAACCUACGGCCGCUUUGCACUUCAACACCUGCUCCACUCUCGUUCUCAGUGGGACUCUGGAACUGCCAGUCUGCUGUGAACAAAGCUGCCUUCAUUCCGGCUUUCGCCACGCAGUCCACCCUCAGCAUCCUGGCACUGACAGAGACAUGGAUACGUCCUGAGGAUACAGCAACACCUGCUGCUCUCUCUAACAACUUCUCCUUCUCCCACACCCCUCGACAUACUGGUCAGCUGACAAGCUUUCUUGAGGAAUUGGAUGUCCUGCUGUCCUCCUUGCCAGAGGAUGGCAGGCCACUUGUGGUUCUUGGUGAUUUCAACAUACACCAGGACAAACCCCAGGCCAUUGAACUGAAUACUCUUCUGGCCUCAUUUGACUUGGAAAGACUACACACCACAGCAACUCACAGACCAGCACGGACUACACCACCCAGCCCCUGGCUGUCUGACAUCCUUCGUGAACAUCGGACUGUUCUCAGGGCAGCUGAGAGGAGAUGGCGGAAAUCUAAAGAUCCAGCUGAUCUAGCCCAACGACACCACAGUGACCGUUCGAAUCGCUGCCUGUCUGGCAGACAUCUCGGCCUGGAUGAAGGAACACCACCUUCAACUCAACCCUGCCAAGACAGAACUCCUUGUCUUUCCAGCCAACCCUGCUGUUGAACACAACAUCACCGUGCAGCUGGGUCCAACUACAGUUUCGCCUUCCAAAACGGUCAGAAAUCUAGGGGUAACCAUUGAUGAUGAGCUAAAUUUCACAGACCACAUUUCAAAAACUGCAAGAUCUUGUAGAUUUACACUCUACAAUAUCAGGAAGAUAAGACCCUUCCUCUCUGUACAUGCCACACAACUGCUCGUUCAGUCCCUUGUCAUAACUAGACUGGACUACUGUAAUGCUCUCAUUGCAGGCCUUCCUGCAUGUGCUAUUAGACCUCUCCAAAUGAUCCAGAAUGCAGCAGCACGUCUGGUCUUUAAUGAACCUAAGAGAGCACAUGUUACACCACUCUUUGUCUCUCUCCACUGGCUGCCGGUUCAUGCACGUAUUAAAUUCAAGGCCCUGAUGCUGGCAUAUAAAACAGUCACUGGGUCUGCUCCAGCAUACCUAAAAACAUUUAUGCAGAGCUACGUUCCCACCAGAAGCCUGCGGUCGGCUAAGGAACGUCGCCUUGUCGUACCAAAACAAAGAGGCACCAAAACACUUUCCCGGACUUUCAGUUUCAUCAUACCACGGUGGUGGAAUGACCUUUCCAACUCAAUC